rnacentral:misc_RNA from 1 species
CUAGACAUAGGCACACCAUGGAACAAUAUAAGAUUCAUUGUGUUUUUCUUCUCUGUCUCAAUACUUGGUAUACUAUACUUGGUGCGUGUGUGUGUUGUGCGGGUAACUUGCAACAAUUACAGAGGUCAGUAGAAGGUGUUCUAGGAUCCUACUGUUAAUCAAUGAAAUCAGUUCAAUCAAUCUGUAAUCACCAAAAUAAUUUUGGAUUCUGUUAAUUUCUUCCUUAGGAAUUCAAUGAAUUUCAUGAUCUGCACAUGAAUUUACUUAAUUUCCUUUAAAAAGUUGUAGUGGGAGGAGGGAGGGGG